rnacentral:rRNA from 1 species
UAGGGAAUAUUCGGCAAUGGGGGGAACCCUGACCGAGCAACGCCGCGUGAGUGAAGAAGGUUUUCGGAUCGUAAAGCUCUGUUGUUAAGGAAGAACGAGUGUGAGAAUGGAAAGUUCAUACUGUGACGGUACUUAACCAGAAAGGGACGGCUAACUACGUGCCAGCAGCCGCGGUAAUACGUAGGUCCCGAGCGUUGUCCGGAUUUAUUGGGCGUAAAGCGAGCGCAGGCGGUUAGAUAAGUCUGAAGUUAAAGGCAGUGGCUCAACCAUUGUAGGCUUUGGAAACUGUUUAACUUGAGUGCAGAAGGGGGGAGUGGAAUUCCAUGUGUAGCGGUGAAAUGCGUAGAUAUAUGGAGGAACACCGGUGGCGAAAGCGGAUCUAUGGUCUGUAACUGAAACUGAGGCUCGAAAGCGUGGGGGGCGAACAGG